GCAAUCUAGCAUUGUUCUGUUUGGAGAUCCUGCAACAUGGAGGCCAUGGCUUUCAGAGAGGGGGACAGACCUCACAACAAUGCCAACAAACCAGUAAGGAGUCGGAUCACCCUCUGCAUUGUGGCUUCUGUGGCCAUUUUGAUGUUGAUUUUUCUCUCAAUUUUAAUAACUUGCAUUCUUCUCCAUUACAUGCAGACACCGACGACUUGUUGGUUUGAGGGAUCUUCACCAGUCAGUUCCCAAGAUGGCAUCAACUGGAUGUGGAAGCAGGACUGUGCUGGCUCUGUAAGGAAUACAAGCAGCUCCUCACUAGAAAUCUUGGAAAGCGGAAUAUAUUUUGUCUAUGUUUAUGUGGCCCGUUUGGAGGAUAUAUCUACCCAGGAUUUCUUCACUGUUCAGCUAGUUGAUCAUUCGGAAAAUAUUCUCAGCCUUCUCAGAGGGUUCAAUGACACCCGGGCAUUUGUAAACAUGGGAAGAUCUUUUUUCCUGGCAAAAGGAAUAAAGUUGCACUUGGAGAUGAAUGCAGGACUUGAAUAUAUUGACACCAGCUGGACAUAUUGGGGACUCUUUAAAAUACAGUAAGGACACCAAACUGCUAGUUUAAUCUGCUAAGAUUAUAAUACGUACAUGAAAAAAUUGUGACACUGGAUUACUAAGCAAAGGAUGACAGUGUUUCCUGAAUUCCUGCAGUGAGCUGAUGGUUCAGUUGUCCUGUUACAUUCGCCAAAAGCUGUGGUUUGAUUAUGUUUAAUACAGUAGAGUCUCACUUAUCCAAUGUAAACGGGCCAGCAGAAUGUUGGAUAAGCGAAUAUGUUGGAUAAUAAGGAGAGAUUAAGGAAAAGCCUAUUAAACAUUAAAUUAGGUUAUGAUUUUACAAAUUAAGCACCAAAAUAUCAUGUUAUACGACACAUUUGACAGAAAAGGUAGUUCAAUACACAGUAAUGCUAUGUAGUAAUUACUGUAUUUACGAAUUUAGCACCAAAAUAUCAUGAUAUAUUGAAAACAUUGACUACAAAAAUGCGUUGGAUAAUCCAGAACGUUGGAUAAGCGAGUGUUGGGUAAGUGAGACUCUACUGUACUAAAUAACUGAAUAGUCAGGACAUUUUAUACUGUAUGCAGGAAACAGAUACUAAAAAAAAUCUGACUUGAAUAAUUCAGUAUCAACUGAUGAAAAAGCAACUUGAAGUUUAAACCAAACAUUUCGGUCACGUUAUCAGUGUUAAUUCUGCUGACCCCAGGAUGAUUCGAGAUCUACAGAUACUGAGAUUAUUUUAGAUGAGCAACAUUGGUAUCAGGACCUUGGUAGCAUGUGUAGCUAUUUAGAGUGCUCUCAUACAUUUUUACAGCAAUUCUCAAAACUUUUUUUUUGAUAUAAUGGUAAAAUUUAAGGGACAAGUUUAUAAUCUGGACACAAAUUGCAGGGGGGAAAAAGGUUCCACCUAAACAUUAAGAGUACCUUCCUGACAGUAAGAGCUGUUUGGCAGUGGAAUCUGCUGCCUUGAAGCAUGGAAAAGUCUCAUCCUCUGGAGUUUUAAAGCAGAGGCUGGAUGGCCAUCUAUUGAGAAUGAUUUAAUUUUGUAUUUUUCCUGAAUAGCAGGAGGUUGGACUGGAAUGCCCUUGAUGUCUCUUCCACCUCUAUGAUUCUAUGUCAUUCUUAUUUUAUGUUAUUUUGCUUAAUAGAUAACAACUGUAAUUUUACUCAAAAUGGAGGGAAAAAAGAAAAUGCAGCAAUUUAAAGCAGAUGAAAAGUGUCCUUUCAAAAAGUUAAUGAAGUUUUUUCAGUUUUUUAAAAUCUGUCUUUGUUUUCCUUCCUUUGGCAUUUGAAAUUUGAUAGUUUCAUCACCUUAGAUUAUAUAUACACACACAAUAAUAGGAGAGACAUGGUAUUUUGUUUUAUUUCACAUAGCUCUGUGCUACACCAACUGUCAUACAAGGAGGACAUUCCACACUUCCUUGUAAGGCAGACUGGGGUCCCUUCUUCUACAUUGCCACAUAAUCCAGAUUAUCAAAUCAAAAAUUCCACAUUAUCUGCUUUGGACUGGAUUAUAUGAGUCUACACUGCCAUAUAAUCCUGUUCAAUGCAGAUAAUCUGGAUUUUAUAUGGCAAUGUACAAGAGAACCUCCAGAGGACCAGCUCCAGCUCCUGGACGUGGGAUCCCACUUCCAUUAAAUAAAUGUUGAUCUGAUAUAGAAUGCAAAUUAUUUAAAUUUGAGGUGAUAUAGAGGGAGAAUUAAUUUUCCCCCUUAUUUGAAAUAUACAUUCUAGUAAUUACUUCUCAAUCUCCAAAUAUACCAAUUGGCCUUUGUGAAUGUUAUGCGAAAGUAUCUUUUGCAGACCUGGUCCCACAUCUUUUUCAAACACUUCAGCUGACAUUGGUUGCGGUUUCCAUCUGACUCUCUGAUGAGUAAUGCUUACAUAUGAUAAAGUAUUCCUGUAGACUAGAUUUGAAUCUUUGACAGCAUUUACUAACGCAGUCCAUCAGAUACCGCAAGCAAUCUUAACCUUGUUCUAGAGAGGAGAAAGUCUGGCUUUCAGAAUGACUGAAAAUCCCACUUGGCAUUUUCCAGACCGAGGCUUAUUGCACAAACAACAACAAUAACACACAUAUAGACUCAGAGCAGCAAACAGUUUCUGAGCACAGUUAUUACUCAGUAGGGUGAAAAUGGCCACAACACAGUGCUAAAGUGAAACUAUGAAAGUGUUGGUAAGAUAUAAAAAUGAAACAAAGCUAAUGCUAUCGAAAUGCCAGGAGCAACACUGCAGACUAGAGGAUUUCCCAGCUUGUGAUGACAGAUUUUUUGUAUCUGGCUAAAACCAGAGAAUAGAACUUGCUGGCAAACAGAAUUAAAGUUUCUUUUUACACCUAUUACUAUUGCCAGCACACACAGUUAAAAUAGGAAAUUAGAGACCCUUUCACAGAGCAUUGUUACAGUGAAAUGUUUCUACUUUAUCUUGCUGUGGUUCCAUCCUGUGGAGUCUUUGGGGUUACUGUUUAGCAUUCUCAAGACAGAAAACUCCUCUUCUGCCGCUGGGCAAAUUAUAAAUCUCAGGAUGCCAUAGGAUGCAGCCGUAGCAAUUAUGGUGCUAUAAUAUUAUGGCAGUGGUUCUCAACCUUCCUAAUGCCGUGACCCCUUAAUACAGUUCCUCAUGUUGUAGUGACCACCAAUCAUAAAAUUAUUUUCUUUGCUGCUUCAUAACUAUCAGUUUGCUACUGUUAUGAAUCAUAAUGUAAAUACAGUAGAGUCUCACUUAUCCAAGCUAAACGGGCCAGCAGAAGAUUGGAUAAGUGAAUAUUUUGGAUAAUAAGGAGGGAUUAAGGAAAAGCCUAUUAAGCAUCAAAUUAGGUUGUGAUUUUACAAAUUAAGCACCAAAACAUCAUGUUAUACAACAAAUUUGACAGAAAAAGUAGUUCAAUACACAGUAAUGUUAUGUUGUAAUUACUGUAUUUACGACUUUAGCACCAAAAUAUCAUGAUAUAUUGAAAACAUUGACUACAAAAAUGGCUUGAUUAUCCAGAGGCUUGGAUAAGUGAGACUCUACUGUACCUGAUAUACAGGAUUUAUUUUCAUUCACUGGACCAAAUUUGGCACAAAUACCUGAUAUGUCCAAAUUUGGAUACUGGUCGGGUUGUGGGGGUUGAUUUUGUCAAAUGGAAAUUGUAGUUGCUGGGAUUUAUAGUUCACCUACAAUCAAAGAGCAUUCUGAACUCCACCAAUGAUGCAAUUGAACCAAACUUGGCACACAGAACUCUCAUGACCAACAGAAAAUACUAAAAGGGUUUGGUGGGCAUUGGUCUUGAGUUUUGGAGUUGUAGUUCACCUACAUCCAGAGAGCACUGUGGACUCAAACAAUGAUGGAUCUGGAUCAAACAUAUGGAUGAAUACUUAAAUAUGCCCAAAUGUGAACAGUGGUGGAGUUUGUGGAAAAUAGACCUUGACAUUUGGGAGUUGUAGUUGCUGGAAUUUAUAGUUCAUCUACAAUCAAAGAGCCCCUUGAACCCCACCAAUGACAGAAUUGGGACAAACUUCCCACACAGAACCUCCAUCACCAACAGAAAAUACUGGUCUUUGGAAACCCCACUGAACCCCGCACGUGACCCCCCCCCCAGGGUCCCGACCCUCGGGUUGAGAAAUGCUGUACUAUGGUGUGAAAGAACAUAUCCCCUACAUAUAACAGUGCAACAUUAACUAAUUUGCAAUGGAAAUUUUACUACUCAUUGACACAAGACAAGGAUUGGAAGUCCUCUCUGUGUACUUAUGGUAGACUGUCAUUUUAAAUUCUAACGUCACAUCUUAUUUUCUGUGGGUGGAUACUGCUGUGUGAAAGCUAGAAAUUUGAUCGAGUUAACCACAAGAAAAAGUAACAGGAAAGCUAUGCCUGUAAUUUCUAGGAUUUUCGGGGAAAACACAAAUUGUAUUUGAUGUUCACAAGCCUUUGUUACUAAACAUUUUAUCUUCUUGCUUGCCAUCCUCUGGACAUGUUUCAGCUUGUCUAUACUUGUCUUGAAAUGUGAUGCUUAGGCUUUGGUAGACUAUUCUGGGUAAAGUGUAACCAAGCAGAAUAAAAUAGCAUGUUUAAUUCCUUUGGACACUGUUAUAUUGAAACCCAGGACCCCAGAAGACCCCCAAACCCAUGAUUAAGAAAGAUGCCAUGCCAAGUCCCAUUGGCUGAUGACCUGUUCUCAGGUGUCCUUUUCCUCAGAAACAUAGUUGCACAAGCACCCAACACCCUGCCUUUAUCUCUCCCUAAGAGCCCAUCAAAGUUUUUUAAUACCCAGUUUCCCAGUCCGGGCCCAUUGUAAGAUCUUGGCUGAAAGGAUUAAACCCAUUAAAGACAAUCAACCCUGAAUCCUGCCAACGGUCCUUUCCUGACACACUCAAAGAGGGCAGACUCACAGCUACAGGCUUCAAACUGAGCAAUGACAGUUUAAUGACUGGGUUGUAGAGGACUGGGCUGUGGCGCAGCUGGUUACUAGUCAGCUGCAAUAAAUAAUUACUGACUGAGAGAUCAAUAGUUGUAAUCCAGCCCGGUUCAGAGUGAGUUCCCGACCAUUUAAUAGUCUAGCUCGCUGUUGAUCUAUGCAGCCCGAAAGACAGUUGCAUCUGUCGAGUAGGAAAUUUAGGUACCGCUUUAUGCGGGGAGGCUAAUUUAACUAAUUUGCUACACCAUAAAAUUUUCCAGCAGUAUGCAGAAGAAUGAGGAAGUACUCCAUCAAGGACUCAGUGCCACAAGUAGACGGUGAAGCGGCAGCUCCCCCUGUGGCUGGAAUCAAGCAUAUCCUCAUGAAGCCAGAAGCUGGAAUGUUAAAUUGUCUCUGUUUCUGUCUAUACAUGUUGUAUUGUCUAAUGGCAUUGAAUGUUUGUCAUGUAUAUUUGCAUUGUGAUCCACCCUUGAGUCCUCUUCGGGAUGAGAAGGGCAG
rnacentral:lncRNA from 11 species